ensembl:lncRNA
GCUGGACAUGUACUGUGGUACUAAAAGAAUGACAGGAGAUAAGGGAUCCCUGUGAGGUGCUAACACUGCUCUAUGGGAGGUGGCCACACUGUCUGUCCCCUGUAGCUGUGAAGUAUGAAGGAGAUGGCCAAGCCUUUGAGUCGUGAAUAAAGAGCAAUCUUUAGGCACAUCCUGAGGACACUCGUCUACGUGAUCAAACAGCCCCAUAUCUGACAGAACGGUGUCAGUUCAGCUGAGGAGACAGCCGCACUCAGUAAGCUGACAGCAGCAAAAGGAAGGGGUCGUGGCAGGUCACUGCUUUCACAGAGAGACAAGGACUUCUGGAGCGCCACAGAUCCCGAUGCAUUCCCUUCACACAUCACAUUCCUGGGUCAACCUCCCAAAACAAGCAUAGCUGGAUGCGUGCAGACCUGCCUGGACUGUGCUUGCCGCUAGCUGGAGUGAUGGCGGGGAGGAGGAAGGAGGAAUUACCCUGGCGAUGUCAGCCGUGCUUCCCAGCUGCUGCAGUCCUCAGUUGACCCUUGCAGGCAGACACUGCGAGAGUUACACUGGAUUACAAAUCCCCGCUGCUCUUAAUC